rnacentral:rRNA from 1 species
UAAGGAAUAUUGGUCAAUGGACGAAAGUCUGAACCAGCCAUGCCGCGUGAAGGAUGAAGGCCCUCUGGGUUGUAAACUUCUUUUAUAGGGGACGAAAAAAGGGAAUUCCUUCCCACUUGACGGUACCCUAGGAAUAAGCACCGGCUAACUCCGUGCCAGCAGCCGCGGUAAUACGGAGGGUGCAAGCGUUAUCCGGAUUCACUGGGUUUAAAGGGUGCGUAGGUGGGCAGUUAAGUCAGUGGUGAAAUCUCCGGGCUUAACCCGGAAACUGCCAUUGAUACUAUCUGUCUUGAAUAUCCUGGAGGUGAGCGGAAUAUGUCAUGUAGCGGUGAAAUGCUUAGAUAUGACAUAGAACACCGAUUGCGAAGGCAGCUCGCUACGGGAUUAUUGACACUGAGGCACGAAAGCGUGGGGAUCAAACAGG